ACUGUCAUCACUGAGAGAGUAAACCCUCCAAGGGAGAUGUUUCUUUUUCUGCAGUUCAUCCUCGCCUUCCGCUACGCGACCUCGGUGACGAUCCACCAGACGCCGGCUUUCUCCGGAUCUCCCGGCCGGAACGUAUCCCUGCGUUGCACUGUGGACGGUAUUACCGAUGCUGCUGACAUUGUGUACUGGUAUCGACAAUACCCCGGAAAGGGUCUGGAGAACAUGUUUUACUCGACGAUAGCUAAUUCCGUGAACCCAAACAGAUUGGUCGGCGGUUUUAAGGCGGAGAGACCAGAGACCAACAAGUUCUUCCUGAAGUCCGACAGUCUGGAGGCGAAUUCGUCGGCCGUGUAUUUCUGUGCGUGGAGUCAUCACGGCGGCUCAGAGUGA